rnacentral:rRNA from 1 species
GAUGAACGCUGGCGGCGUGCUUAACACACGCAAGUCGAGCGAAGCGCUUUGAAGUUUUCGGACGGAUGAGUGACUGAGCGGCGGACGGGUGAGUAACGCGUGGGUAACCUGCCUCAUACAGGGGGAUAACAGUUAGAAAUGACUGCUAAUACCGCAUAAGCGCACAGUACCGCAUGGUACGGUGUGAAAACUCCGGUGGUGUGAGAUGGACCCGCGUUGGAUUAGCCAGUUGGCA